rnacentral:rRNA from 1 species
UACGUAGGUCCCGAGCGUUGUCCGGAUUUAUUGGGCGUAAAGCGAGCGCAGGUGGUUUAUUAAGUUUGGUGUAAAAGGCAGUGGCUCAACCAUUGUAUGCAUUGAAAACUGGUAGACUUGAGUGCAGGAGAGGAGAGUGGAAUUCCAUGUGUAGCGGUGAAAUGCGUAGAUAUAUGGAGGAACACCGGUGGCGAAAGCGGCUCUCUGGCCUGUAACUGACACUGAGGCUCGAAAGCGUGGGGAGCAAACAGG